UACGUAGGGACCAAGCGUUGUUCGGAUUUACUGGGCGUAAAGGGUGCGUAGGCGGGUCUUUAAGUCAGGGGUGAAAUCCUGGAGCUCAACUCCAGAACUGCCUUUGAUACUGAGGAUCUUGAGUUCGGGAGAGGUGAGUGGAACUGCGAGUGUAGAGGUGAAAUUCGUAGAUAUUCGCAAGAACACCAGUGGCGAAGGCGGCUCACUGGCCCGAUACUGACGCUGAGGCACGAAAGCGUGGGGGAGCAAACAGG
rnacentral:rRNA from 1 species